rnacentral:misc_RNA from 1 species
AACCUUAUGGACCUGCGGGCGUAUACCUGCGGAGGGAUCAUUACUGAGGAGGGUCCAUGGCCCGAUCUCCAACCCUUUGAUAAAAACACCAUGUUGCUUUGGCAGGCCCGCCCGUUGGGGCCGCGGGGGAUCGCCGGUCCCUAGCCCGUGCCUGCCGGUAGCCUUCACAAAACUCUCAAAAUGUUGUCGUCUGAGAUGAUUAGAAUAAUAAAACUUUUAACAAUGGAUCUCAGAUCGGAA